UGAGGUGCGAUAUCACACCAAAGUCCGAGCUUGCAGGGGCUUCAGCCUGGAGAUUUGAAGGUGGCAGGCAUUCACAAGAAGGUGGUCCAGACCCUCAGCAUCUUUGUGGACCCCAGAAGCGGAACAAAUGCACACUGUCGCUACAGGCCAACGUGCAAUGGCUGAAGGAGUACUGCUCCAAGCUCAUCCUCUUCCCCAGGAAGCCCUCCACUCCCAGAAGAGAGACAGUUCUGCUGAAGAACUCCAACUGGCCACCCAGCUGACAGGCCCAGUAAUGCCUAUCCGGAACAUGUACAGAAAGAGAAAGUCAGAGCCUAGGCAUUUGCCAGUCUCCUAUUGGCUCCGGCCAAUGGCCACCACUUUGGCAUCUGGGCAAAAAGGGCCAAGGAAACUGCAGAACAGGAAGUCAAAAAGAAAACUAAAGCACUGUGGGGCCUUAUAAAUAAGUGCUCUCCGUGAAGCUAAAAAAAAAAAAA
rnacentral:lncRNA from 1 species